CACAUAGGAUGUUAGCCGUUAUCGCAUCCAUGCGAUAACGGCUAACUGACCUGCAUCGUGCAGG
rnacentral:sRNA from 1 species